ACAGAGUGAAUCUCAAUAUGCAGCCAUAGAGGAACCCAUGGUGCAGCAGUGGAUGCGGCCUGGAAGAGGUACAGCCCAUGGAGCAGGCUCUGAGGAGCAGGUCCCUGCUAGCCUCCUAAGCACCUGUAUGGAAUAGUGCUGCAAGUCUGAUUCUAUUUCUAGGUUUGAUGAGAGAAUACAGGAGCCUGUGGAGUCUGCAGAACUAUAGGCAUGAUACAGCAAAAUAUUCUACACUUCAAGAGCAAUGAAAUUCUACCUGAAAGUGCUAAAGCUCAAAGCUAUCAGGAAAUUGUCCUGAAACUGAAAACCUCCAGGAAAUUGAGUGGACAUACCACAUGCAACAUCCAAGGUAUUAUGUCUUGGUUAUGUUUCGUGGGAUUUAGUGUUGACAAUUUUUAUUAUACCCAGCCACAGAUACCUUCCUCUGAACAAAGAAUUCUGACUAGCCUUGAGGACAAGAAUAACAUCAGGCAUACCAGGAGGAGUUCUCCUACUAAGCAAGAGAAAAGGCAAGGAGAAGAGUUUUACUGGUGUCUGCUAGUUCUCAGGAGCACCCUUCUGAGAAGACAUUUUUCACAUUGAGAGAAGUCUGGUCUUCAGAGCAAAUGAAAGGGAAAAGGAAAAUUUUAUGUUACAGGGAUUUGCACCCACCCACUGGGUGGAGAAGAAGACCACAGAGAGAGGUCUUCUAGUUGGAGGAACAUGGUGUUACUGUCAACUCGUGACAUCAAACUGAACAUUUUUGUCUUUGUUUAAAAUGUUGUUAAUGUAUUUAGUUAAAAAGGAAGCUGCUCUGGGUUGUUUGGAAACUGAAGGAAAAUAAAAAGUCUUCUGUACUUUU
rnacentral:lncRNA from 7 species